ACGCGUGGAACCUUACCAGGUCUUGACAUCCCGCUGCCCGGUAUAGAGAUAUACCUUUCCCUUCGGGGACAGCGGUGACAGGUGGUGCAUGGUUGUCGUCAGCUCGUGUCGUGAGAUGUUGGGUUAAGUCCCGCAACGAGCGCAACCCUUGAUCUUAGUUGCCAGCAUUCAGUUGGGCACUCUAAGGUGACUGCCGGUGACAAACCGGAGGAAGGUGGGGAUGACGUCAAAUCAUCAUGCCCCUUAUGACCUGGGCUACACACGUGCUACAAUGGAUGGUACAAAGGGCAGCAAAACCGCGAGGUCGAGCAAAUCCCAUAAAACCAUUCUCAGUUCGGAUUGUAGGCUGCAACUCGCCUGCAUGAAGCUGGAAUCGCUAGUAAUCGCGGAUCAGCAUGCCGCGGUGAAUACGUUCCCGGGCCUUGCACACACCGCCCGU
rnacentral:rRNA from 1 species